rnacentral:rRNA from 1 species
AUAGACGAAUGGUCUUGAAAGGCCAGUCAUAGAGGGUGCGAACCCCGUAGUCGAAAUGUCGUCGCCUGUCCGGAGAGUAUCCCAAGUAGCACGGGGCCCGAGAAAUCCCGUGUGAAUCUGUCAGGACCACCUGAUAAGCCUAAAUACUCCCAGAUGACCGAUAGCGGACAAGUACCGUGAGGGAAAGGUGAAAAGUACCCCGGGAGGGGAGUGAAAUAGUACCUGAAACCGUUUGCUUACAAACCGUUGGAGCACCCUUGUUGGUGUGACAGCGUGCCUUUUGAAGAAUGAGCCUGCGAGUUAGUGAUAUGUGGCGAGGUUAACCCGUGAGGGGCAGCCGUAGCGAAAGCGAGUCUUAAUAGGGCGUAUGAGUCGCAUGUUCUAGACCCGAAGCGAAGUGAUCUAUCCAUGGCCAGGUUGAAGCGACGGUAAGACGUCGUGGAGGACCGAACCCACUUCAGUUGAAAAUGGAGGGGAUGAGCUGUGGAUAGGGGUGAAAGGCCAAUCAAACUUCGUGAUAGCUGGUUCUCUCCGAAAUGCAUUUAGGUGCAGCGUUGCGUGUUUCUUGCCGGAGGUAGAGCUACUGGAUGGACGAUGGGCCCCAAAAGGUUACUGACUUCAGCCAAACUCCGAAUGCCGGUAAGUGAGAGCGCAGCAGUGAGACGGUGGGGGAUAAGCUUCAUCGUCGAGAGGGAAACAACCCAGACCACCAUCUAAGGUCCCUAAGCGCGUGCUAAGUGGGAAAGGAUGUGGAGUUGCAUAGACAACCAGGAGGUUGGCUUAGAAGCAGCCACCCUUGAAAGAGUGCGUAAUAGCUCACUGGUCAAGUGAUUCCGCGCCGACAAUGUAACGGGGCUCAAGCACGCCACCGAAGUUGUGGCAUUUAUAUUAUAGGCAGGCCUUCGUGGUCCAGCCGUAUGGAUGGGUAGGAGAGCGUCGUGUGGCCAGCGAAGCGGCGGUGUGAACCAGCCGUGGAGGCCACACGAGUGAGAAUGCAGGCAUGAGUAGCGAAAGACGGGUGAGAAACCCGUCCUCCGAAAGACCAAGGGUUCCAGGGCCAGGCUAAUCCGCCCUGGGUAAGUCGGGACCUAAGGCGAGGCCGACAGGCGUAGUCGAUGGACAACGGGUUGAUAUUCCCGUACCGAUGAAGAACCGCCCAAGACAAUCCAGUAAUGCUAAGUGUCUGAAUCCUUGAUCCGAUCCCUUCGGGGUGACGGUC